CAUUGAAGAUGUGUUAGGCAGGGGAGGGUUAACAGUUUAAAUCCCUGUGUAGGAUGUCCAACACUUACAUGAACAGUAUCAUCUGUUCUAUCUAUCUUCUAUCUACAUCUACUGUCAUCACUACACUGAUGAUGAACAGCCAACCCUGGCAGGAGCCACGUAAUAUUUCGGUCAAUGACAGACCCUAUAUACGACGUGGUCCCGUAAGUCACACUGGCACAUUUCAAGUACUCAACAGCCACAUGUGGUAAGUACUCAACAGUGGUGCAGACGUGGAACAUUUCCAUCACUGUGCAGCUAUUGGACAUCUAUUCCAAGGAGCCUACCUUCUCUUUGGCCAGGUGACUUUAGUGGUUCCACCCCAAGGUCCUCUUGAUACUGAGUACGCUGAUCUCAUGCUUGCCACCAGCUUUUCUAUUUCUCUCUUCACACGUGCGGUACAUGGCACAAAAAGUUCAUCAACUCCAAAGUUAAACUCUUCCACCAGCUUUGUGUUUUCAAGCCCAGAAAUGCAGAAAAACUAGAUUCCAAACAUGAUCCUGAAUAAAUGGAAUAAUGACUCACAAAUGCUGCUCAUUUGCUUUGCAGUAAACAUAUAUAUUACUGCAAAAUUUUCCAAAGUUAUAAUUAUAUAAUCAAACCUAGUUCCAAAACCUCCUUAGAAAUCUAACAAAAAGCUAACUUUAGUGAGAAAAUACUUCUUAUAAAGUUCGAAAUGCAUAUUAACUGUGAGUAAAGGAAAAAUAAAGCCUAAAAUCACAAAAUACAAAGACCUGAUAAGACUAGAUUUUCUGAGACAGAAAUCUUGUCCUUAACAGCUGCAUCAAAUUGAGAAAAUGAAGAUGCAUUCUAUAACUAAUUUGCUACAUGUAUAGAUGGGUAUGGACUAAAAUGUUUGAUAUCAAUCACAAUGAUGUUAGCGUCUACCUUUUCACGUUUCCACCUCCAUGUAUUCAAUAGCUCAGAUGUAACUGUUGACUAUGUCAAGAUUCACUAAAAGUUUGUACUUGAAAAUUUGAAGCAGUUGCUCAUUUCGCUAGUGUUCCAAAAACAAAGCAACUGUGCUUUUAGUUCAAAACUGUCGCCAAGAAUAUUGAAUAAUUAAUAAAAUUUUAAACAGAAGAACUAUGUGAACUUCAGAUCAACUCUUCAUAAAGCAAAGCCAAUAAUCUUGAAUUUAAUACACUAGUUUUCACAUAAUUCACUGUCCAAAUAGUAAAAGGUUGACAUGGCUCAUAAUUGCUAGGCAGGGUUUCAGAAGUUGAUGAAUGGCUCUAAAAAUAUUGCAUAUCUGCAGGGGAAGGGGAACUAAUGGGGGGGGACUCCUACUUUUCCUUGACUUUUGAUUUAAAUAAAUCCUGAUCCCAAAGCAGCAUUGGAGAAUCAUCAUUAAUCAGUUCACUUGUUUCUUUUUCAACUCUAUUCACAGACAUUGAAGACUUUUAACUCUAAUUUCCCCAAUAUCACCACAGGUCUAACAAUGAUCUCAAAAGCUUACAAAAAUUAGAAUUCCUUCUCCUACUAUAGUCACAUACUGUACAUAAAGAAAGAUAAGAAAAAGAAAAUAUGAAAAACU